rnacentral:rRNA from 1 species
UACGUAGGGUGCAAGCGUUGUCCGGAAUUAUUGGGCGUAAAGAGCUCGUAGGCGGUUUGUUGCGUCGGCUGUGAAAUCCCGAGGCUCAACCUCGGGUCUGCAGUCGAUACGAGCAAACUAGAGUGUUGCAGGGGAGACUGGAAUUCCUGGUGUAGCGGUGAAAUGCGCAGAUAUCAGGAGGAACACCGGUGGCGAAGGCGGCCAUCUGGACGACAACUGACGCUGAGAUGCGAAAGCGUGGGGAGCAAACAGG